rnacentral:piRNA from 1 species
CCUUUAGUCAGGACUGCAGAUAAAAAUAG